UACGGAGGGUGCAAGCGUUAUCCGGAUUCACUGGGUUUAAAGGGUGCGUAGGUGGGCAGAUAAGUCAGUGGUGAAAUCUCCGGGCUUAACUCGGAAACUGCCAUUGAUACUAUCUGUCUUGAAUACCGUGGAGGUUAGCGGAAUAUGUCAUGUAGCGGUGAAAUGCUUAGAUAUGACAUAGAACACCAAUUGCGAAGGCAGCUGGCUACACGAAUAUUGACACUGAUGCACGAAAGCGUGGGGAUCAAACAGG
rnacentral:rRNA from 1 species